UGGCCUUGCAGAGAGGACAUAUAGGCGCGUUGCGGUGAAUCUGUUGGUGGCACGACAGGCACGACUUCAUCGGCGGCGGCUGCUGCCUGCAACAUACACGCCGAGCUCCCACGAUCUGGCAGGCGAUCCAGACCGAGGUAUUGGCGGCGCAGCAAGUCCACCUCAGCUUUAAGCGGCCGGUAGUCUUCAUGCAAACGACUGGCGUUCGACAGCUUGCGCGUCAUGCUUUCCUCUGUCUGCUUAAUUACUGUCUCCAUCUGGAAAAUGACACUCUUCGACGUGGCUCAUCUUCUCCUGCUGCAGCAACUCCAUCUCGCGCUUGUAUUGCGCCAGACACCGCCCCUCCUGAUCGCCACUACGCACCUCGUUCACAAUGCUGCGCUUUAGCCGCUCCAGCGAUAUCGUCUUGUUCCUGCACACAGACCACAUGAGAAAAAGAACCCCAACCGACAUAACCGGCUGUUACCAAACGCUUUGUUUACAUUCUUGAACUUCGGCAAGUUUGUAAACUAUAUUCUCCUGAAUAUGUCCUUACAAAUGUCCAUGCCCGUUAUAGGUACGGUUGAUGAUAAUACGAUACGA